GAACGCUGGCGGCAGGCCUAACACAUGCAAGUCGAACGGUAACAGGAAGCAGCUUGCUGCUUCGCUGACGAGUGGCGGACGGGUGAGUAAUGUCUGGGGAUCUGCCUGAUGGAGGGGGAUAACUACUGGAAACGGUAGCUAAUACCGCAUAACGUCGCAAGACCAAAGAGGGGGACCUUCGGGCCUCUUGCCAUCAGAUGAACCCAGAUGGGAUUAGCUAGUAGGUGGGGUAACGGCUCACCUAGGCGACGAUCCCUAGCUGGUCUGAGAGGAUGACCAGCCACACUGGAACUGAGACACGGUCCAGACUCCUACGGGAGGCAGCAGUGGGGAAUAUUGCACAAUGGGCGCAAGCCUGAUGCAGCCAUGCCGCGUGUAUGAAGAAGGCCUUCGGGUUGUAAAGUACUUUCAGCGGGGAGGAAGGCGAUGCGGUUAAUAACCGCGUCGAUUGACGUUACCCGCAGAAGAAGCACCGGCUAACUCCGUGCCAGCAGCCGCGGUAAUACGGAGGGUGCAAGCGUUAAUCGGAAUUACUGGGCGUAAAGCGCACGCAGGCGGUCUGUCAAGUCGGAUGUGAAAUCCCCGGGCUCAACCUGGGAACUGCAUCCGAAACUGGCAGGCUUGAGUCUUGUAGAGGGGGGUAGAAUUCCAGGUGUAGCGGUGAAAUGCGUAGAGAUCUGGAGGANUACCGGUGGCGAA
rnacentral:rRNA from 1 species